rnacentral:tRNA from 1 species
GUCCUGAUGGUGUAGUAGUUAUCACACCUGACUAGUAACUGGGGGGCGUGGGUUCAAAUCCCACUCAGGGCA